AACGAACGCUGGCGGCAUGCCUAACACAUGCAAGUCGAACGAGACCUUCGGGUCUAGUGGCGCACGGGUGCGUAACGCGUGGGAACCUGCCCUUAGGUUCGGAAUAACUCCCCGAAAGGGGUGCUAAUACCGGAUAAUGUCUUCGGACCAAAGAUUUAUCGCCUUUGGAUGGGCCCGCGUUGGAUUAGCUAGUUGGUAGGGUAAAAGCCUACCAAGGCGACGAUCCAUAGCUGGUCUGAGAGGAUGAUCAGCCACACUGGGACUGAGACACGGCCCAGACUCCUACGGGAGGCAGCAGUGGGGAAUAAUGGACAAUGGGCGAAAGCCUGAUCCAGCAAUGCCGCGUGAGUGAUGAAGGCCUUAGGGUUGUAAAGCUCUUUUACCCGGGAUGAUAAUGGCAGUACCGGGAGAAUAAGCUCCGGCUAACUCCGUG
rnacentral:rRNA from 1 species